UUGCCCCGGUGGGGUCUGACGCCCAGCUGGCGUCCGGGAGCCGGGGUGGAGUCCUGGAGGGAGGCGAAGCGGGAUGUGGAGGGGGCCUGGAGUGGGGGGAGGGGGCGGGUGAGGCGAGGCCCGGCCCGCCACAGUCCUGCCUCUGGGCCCCGGGAGCGUCCUCCCUGUGUCCGGGCCGGGCGAGGGCUUAAUGCUAUGGCCAGCGGGGAGGCCUGGCGGGGCCCGGCGGGGGCUGCGGGCUCAGUGGGGCGGGUGGCGCCGCUCGGCCAGGCCCCCGCGGCCCAGCACUUCGCCGCUGAACUGGUAGGUGAGCUUCUUCUUCACCUUCUUGACCUCGCCCGUCUUGCCGUAGUUGCGCAGCGCGCGCGCCAUCUUCUGGUAGGUCAUCUUCUUGCGGUUGCCCUUCUGGAUGCCCCAGCGGUGCGCCAGCGCCUCCUUGUGCUUGGACGAGAACUGGAAGGUGCCCUUGUCCUUGUCCACCCACCAGAUGCUGUCCUUCAUGUCGCCGCUGCGGAGCAGGUCCAACAGGAACUGCCGCUUUGUCCCUCCUGCCUUGAGGAAUGCAGUGAAGCUAGCACGGGCCUCGUCCUCUGCACGUUACCUUACCUCAGAGAUUAUAUGCCUUACCUCGCUGAAUCAUCACAGCCCUAGGAGGUAAGUAUUUUCAUG
rnacentral:lncRNA from 1 species